GGAAGGAGGGCAAGGCCGUGAGUCAGAGCUUGGAGACAUCGGGAGAAUCCCCAAAUUCCUGAGGGACGCGCCCGGCAGCGCCGCGUGUCCCCCGCGCCUCUCCCAUCGUCCUGCUCGUCCUGUGCUUACCUGGCGAGGAGGAGGAGGAGGAGGAGGAGGAAGAGAGCCCAGGUGCUCUCAAGUGAGAACAGCUGAAUUAGCACGGAUCCGGGCCAGAGCAGCAAGCCUUGGCAGGGAGCUGGCAUCGCCCAGCCAGGCAGCACCUGGAGCGGGCACAGCUGUGCCCAGCGCGGGGCUCCAGCAGCCUGAGCCCCCCCAGUGCAUCCCAGUCCACCCCUGGGAGCAUCUCCCAGUCCCAUUCCUGCAGGGAAGGUCCCCAGCUCACUGAGAGCAGCCAACACAAUGAUGUCAUCACUGGAACACCAUCCCCAUCAUUCAUCCCUGGCUGCCAGCACCCCUGGAGAUGUGGGCAGGGAAUAUCCUUUGGGAAGGGCAGGAGAGGGGAGCCCCAGCCUCCCCAGGCUGCUGCUGCAGGUGUUUGACAGACCAGAGCUGAUCCCUGGAAGCUGAGGCAGCUCCUGCUCCUUCCUGCGAGCAGGAGAGAGGAAAGGACACUGGGAUCACCAAAUGCCAGCGCCAGACCUGGAUCUUGGACAGGAUCCAGCAGAAGCAGCAGCUCUUCCCAAUGCCAAGGGAUUGUUUGGGACAAGAUAAAUAAAUAAAGUCACUCCUGACACAUCCACUUGACUCCAAAGGCUGGAAAAACCCAGUCCUUGCUGGGAAAUGGGCACUGGGGCCCGGCUGUGAGCCUGAGCAGCCCCUAACUCUCCCACAAUCCCAGUCUUCUGAUCCCAAAAAUUGGGAAUAACAUUUCCCUCCUGUCCAUCUCAAGCAGCAAAUCCACACGCUCCUUGAAGCAGCGAUGCCUUUGCUGGAAAAUCAAUGUAACUCCCCCCAUCCCAAGCACUGGGAUCAGCAGGAGCCAGGAAAUCCAGGCACAAACCCGUCCAAAAAUCAGCCCAGCACAAGGCUGGAGUAUCCAAGACCCUGAUUUCCAGACGGGGAAACUGAGGCACGGCGGGACGCAGCCUGUCCCACGCCACGGGGGGAUGGAUGAGUCAGGAUGGAUCCAGAACAGGAAUAAUUAUUCAGGAAGCAACUCCCAGCCCCGGGUCCCAGCACGGAGCAGGAGCCCAGGUUGCACAACUCCAGCUUCCCCCACCCACCCCCGGCCUCCUCAGUAGUUUUCCAUAUUUACUUAUUUUUGAAACGUUUUGUUAAGCCCAGAAAAUAAGUUUGACUUUGGCACCUUCCUGUUUUACACAGAGAAAAGGCAGGAGAAGGCAGGUCUGGGGCUCUGGAAAAGGGAUCUGCAGCAAAGCUCUGGGUAAUCAACAGCAGGAGGACACCAGGAUUCAGCUCCCAGCAGGAAUGGGAUGGGGCUGAGGAGGAGGAGGAGGAGGGAUGUGCAGGGCAGGCACCAGUCCUGCCACCAAGAGCCAACACCAAAGCCAGGUGGCUUCCUGAGACACCCGGGAUCAACUCCAGGGCCACCUCCUGAGCUCCAGGCUUUGACCUUUAAACCCCAAUUCCAUGGAUUUGUACAUCAGGGAGGAAAGGGCUCUUUGGUGGCACUGCUCACACUCAGCCCCAGCUUCAGGUGUGACCUUGGGCAAGGUCACCCCAUCCCAGUAUCCCAGGGGAUCCUGAGCUGGGAUUACAGGGCAAGGUCACCCCAUCCCAGCAUCCCAGGGAAUCCUGAGCUGGGAUUCCAGGGCAAGGUCACCCCAUCCCAGCAUCCCAGGGGAUCCCAAGCUGGGAUUCCAGGGAGGCUUUGCUUGUCCCCUUCCCACCCUGGGGCAGCUCCAGAGCUCCCCCAAACCUGACUGGAGCAGAUCCCACAUCCCUGCCAGCCCCAAAUCCAGCACUGGAGCUUCCCCCUCUCCUUCCUCUCUCCAAGAGAUGCUUUACAAUUUUUUUCCUCCCAAACCCAGAGAACGGGGGCUGCGUGCAGCACUUGGAAGCUGCGGGCAGGGGUCCUGAGGGAGCUGUGUCUGUCCCCCACACACCCCAGCUCUGGGGAGCAGCCAGGCAAGGUCCCCCCCCAGCCUGGGGGCCGGGAUAAUCAUCCCCACAGUGUGGGAAUGGCUGCAGGGUCAUGAGACUGCCACUGGAGCCUGCUCCAACUCGGCCACCCCGCACACAACACGGCCUUUGUGUCCCACGGCCGCGGUGGCCGGGGACAGCGGGGGGCACAGGGGGUGUCCCGAGCCCCCCAGGAAUGGAUUCAGGGCCUGGGUGCUCCAGCCACAUCCAGAGACUGAGUCCUUAAAACAUCACCCCCAUUCCCUUCCCAACAGCUUAGGAACUGUCCAUGGGAAAUGGAGCAUUCCAAAGUCUGGAUUUGGGGUUUUGGGAACUUCUCGAGUCUUUGUGAGGUGGGUGACUCCAAAGAAGUUCCAAGCACCCCAAAUCCACCGUUUGCUCAUGGCACCAGGGCUCAAUGCCACGAUGGAAUGGGCAAAAUCCACUUGGGAAUGUGCUGAAGCCAGGUGACAAGUGACAAAAGCCGCUGGCACAACCACAGCUCGUCCCUCCCUGGCAAGGAAAGGUCUGAAUGGGCCACCAAGGGGGAGCUUCAACUCCUGACCUGGAUUUCCCAGCAGCUCCCAUCUCUCCCUGCCUGCCCGGGAGUUCCAGGUCCCUGUCCCAGACUGGCUGGCUCUGCAGGGCUGAGGUGCCACAUUUCACCCCAAAAGUGGCUGUGGGGGAGAAGUUUGGGAAUGGCCCUGGCAGACAGCUGAGAGGGAACCAUCGAGGUGAAAUACAGCCCGUGAGGAAGAGGGGCUGGAGCAACAGCAGAGCCCUCCAGGUGAUUUAGGAACACCACAGACAGCCCUGGUGGGACACCCUGUGCAGCCCAACCCUGCUCUCAGCCCCCUCAGCGCUUCCAAAAUCCCAGCACAGCAGAGCUCUGGCUAUUCCAGCUGCACAAGUCAGCCUGGCACACACAGGCAGGAAAAAUGUCAUUUUUUUGGGUGGUGAACAGGAGCGAGGGAAGUUCUCCACCUCCCUGAGCUGAUGUUCCACAUCCAGCUGAUUCCCCAUCAACACUGAAAUGGAAUUCCUGAGGUGGGAAAAGCCCUCCAGGGUCACUGAGUCCCAGCUGUCCCCAGUGCCACCUCCAGGGAUGGGGACUCCCUGGGCAGCCCCUGCCAAUGUCUGAUCGUUCUUUCCAUGCAGAAAUUGUCCCAAUAUCCAUCCUGAUCCCGCCCUGCUGCGACUCAAGGCUGUUCCCUCUUGUCCUGUUGUCCCCUGGGAGCAGAACCUGACCCCUCCUGGCUGCCCCCCAGGCAGGGAGUGCUGCAGAGCCAGAAGGUCACUCCUGAGCCUCCCCAGCUCCCUCAGAUGUUUUCCAGACUCUUCCCAGCUCCAUUCCCUUCUCUGGGCUCACUCCAGCCCCUUGUGUCCUUCUCACAGUGAGGGCCAGACCAGGACACAGCAGCCGAGCUGUCACCUCACCACUGUGAUUUUAUUUUCUUUUUCUAAACUCAAUUUCUCACCUUUCUCCUCCCAGACCCCCCCCAGCCCAAGAGCAGCACCCAGAGCUCACUGAAACCCCCGAGCUUGUGCUUCCCUCAGCAGGAUGUCACCCAAUCCCUCUCCUCCAGGAGCUCUGGAAUUUGACAUUUACAUUCAAAUGAGACGACCACAUCAAGAUGGGAUCCCAACCAAAAGUGCUGACAAAACACCUCUUUAAUUACCAGUUUUCCACAGAACCUCAGUGGUUUUUGGUUUGUUUUUUUCCUUUUCCCUUCACUUCUUUGCCUUAAAAUUUAGAGGAAGCUGAGCAGUUUGGGAGGGCUGAGGAAUACCCAGGUGGAAGAGCUCGGUCACACUGGGGACCAGGGAACAGCCAAUGUUCUCCAGGUGCUCUAAUCCGGAAAAGAUCCCAAAACCCUUUCCAAAGGCAGAGGUGCCGCCCUCUGCAGCAGCACAGGUGAGAACUUGAGCAACACCUGGCACCUGCUCGGGGCAGGAAGGGAGAAUCAGCAUCACCCUUUCCAUGGAGCACGAGGCAAAAAUGGCUUCAGGGAAUCCUGCAAUGCACACAGCAACAUUUCCUGGGAAGAGCUGAGCUCUGGGAGAUGCUGAGGCUGUAGGAUGGAGAGGGAUUCUGGACAUGAGUAUGGAGGCACAGGGUAGGAGGGAAUGGGUUCAAACUGACAGGGCAGGGUGAGAUGGGAUAUUGGGAAGGAAUUCCCAGAGAGCUGUGGCUGCCCAUGGAUCCCUGGAAGUGUCCAAGGCCCGGCUGGAGCAGCCUGGGAUACUGGAGGGUGUCACUGCCCAUGGCAGGAAUAUUUAAGGCUCAUCCAACCCAAACUAUUCUGGAAUUUGGGAUGCUCAGCCUCUUGGGAUCCCAAGCUGCUCUGGGAUUUCUUGGAGCAAACACUCAUGACUGAGGCAGGGCAGCCUCGGCAGCAGCACCAGGGGAGAAUUAUUAAAAUAAUGGUGCUUUACACAAAAAAACCACCCCAGGGGCUGCUGCCCCAGGCCCAAACACGACCCCAGCACUCCCUCCCCACCCUGCAGAACCAGGCACUGCCCCUAGGAACAGCUGACAGCCCACAAAUCCUCCCCUGUCCAUGUCUAGGGACAGAGCCCAGUGCCCCUGUCCCUCUGCCAGCCCGGGGAUGAGGCAGCUCUGUGGCCACGGGGAGCAGAGGCAGGGCCUGUGCUGAGAGCAGCCCAGGACAGGCCCCAGCAGGUUCCCUCUGCCCAGGAUCCACCCGAAACUGCGCCGAGGCCUCGGGACACACACCUCGUCCUGGGGAGCUGGGAACAGGCAGGGGAGGGGAGGGGAGGAGGGGAGGGGUUCUGCCUGCCUGGCAAAAGUCACAAUUCCAACCACUCCACUGAGCCAUGGAAACUCAACUGCUCCCAACAAGGAAAGGUGCUGUCAGUGCCUUAGGGCCAACCUAUCCCAAUUAUUUGGACCUGGAGAAUCAGCUGGAUGUUCCCGAGAGGAAGACCCUGAACAUCAACAGAAGGAAUUGCACUGUGGGAAAAAUCAAGAUUAAAACCCCCUCAGCAUGCUUUUCUUUUAUUAAAACUCCAUUUUCAACGGUGCAGUGGGAAGAAAUCCUUGGUCUUGAGAAGGCAAUGGAGACAUCAAUGGCAAAGAGGGAAUUCCAGCUUUCUUCUGUCCUGUCUGGACAUCCCAGCUGGGGUAACAUGACCAAGAUCAUGCAGCUCUUGAAGUGAAGAGACUGGAGCAGAACCAAAGCCCUGCAAAUAUCUGUGGGCUGGUUUGGACAAUCUGGCUCUGUUUUCCAAGCACGGGCAUCCAUCCCCUGCAGCCCCUGCCCAGCCCUUAACAGGGAAAAGCGACCACAGCUCUGGAUUUGGGAUGUGAGGAAUGAGGAAUGAGACUGAAGCACACGAGGAGGGCUCAGCUGGCUCCCAAAGAGGCUCCAGAUCACAGCCCUGACCAAACCCUGCUCAGAGGGGCUGCUUUGCUCUGGUCCUUGCAAAGAUCAGAGCAUCCCACUUCUUGCAGGUGCUUUGGAUGCUGGAAUGCUGCUGCAAGAGCUCUGGAGACCUUCCAGAGCCUAAAGGGGCUCCAAGAGAGACAGGGACAGGACAAGGGGGACUGGAUUCAAACAGAGGAGGUUUAGGUGGGAUGUUGGGAAGGAAUUCUUCCCUGUGAAGGUGGGGAGGGACUGGAAUGGAAUUCCAAGAGAAGCUGUGGCUGCUCCAUCCCUGGCAGUGCCCAGGGCCAGGCUGGAGCAGGCUUGGAGCAGCCUGGGACAGUGGAAGGUGACCCUGCCAUGGCAGGGGUGGCACUGGGUGGGCUCUCAGGUCCCUUCCACCCAGACCAUUCUGUGAUGAGGCAAAGACUCAAAUUCAAGGUGAGGUGGAAGAACACCUGAGAUGUUCUGACAGCUCCUGGGCUCCAGCAGCUCCCCCCUGCCCCAGCCCAACCCGACGGGCCCGUGGUGUGACCAACACAGCCGGGCUGACCUCGCCAGGUCCCACCUGCCAGGGAGCUUUUCCUCUCCCUGUUCUAAAGGAUGUGCCUGGGCAGCACAGGAAGCUCCAGCACAGCCAACCCCCCUCCUACAGCCCCUCCACACCGAGCAGCUGCUCCAAGGAGAGGAAAUCUGCCCCAAAGCCUGCAGAUCCUGGGGCAUGGAUCGACACAUCCCUGAAAUCCCAGAAUCCCAGGCUGGUGUGGGUUGGGAGGGACCUUGAAGCUCGUCCUGCUCCAUCCCAUGGGCAUGGACACCUUCAUAUCCCAGGGUGCUCCAACCUGGCCUUGGACACUUCCAGGGAUGAGGCAGCCACAGCUUCUCUGGGAAUUUCAUCUCAGGGUCUCCCCACCCUCCCAGAAAGGAAUUCCUUCCCGAUAUCCCAUCCAUCCCUGCCCUCAUUUUGAAGCCAUUCCCCUGGCACUCCAGGCCCUUGUGAAGAGCCAAAGCUCUCCAUGAGUCACUAACACCCAAGGAAGAAGCACCUGAAGCACUGCAGGAACAGCCAGGACACAGCAGGAGGCUGAGAGAGGAAAGGAGAAUCCCACAUCCUGCAGCUUCUGGCAGGAAGAGCAACUGCUCCCACUGAAAUCUGGAUGGGGCACUGGGUCUGAACAUCCCUCAGGCCCUCCAGGAGCAUCCCAGGAACUUUAAUGGAAUAAAAGCCCAUUAAAGCAGGAACCAUGGAGGGACCACCACGGUGGGGCUGGAGGUCUGGGAUUCCUCAUCAGUGACAGGGAACUGUUGGCAAUGCUGCUACAGAGCCACCAGGAGGAAAGGGACUUGUUCCUCUUGGUUUUCCCAAACUGCCUGAGCUCCAGUGGUUUUCACAUGCUGGCCCAGACGAGGCUGGACAAGCCAGCUGUGGAAUUGCUCCAGUGGAAGGACAAGUGUCACCAAGAACAGGCUCAUCCCAAAGGCCUGGGCAAGACCCUGCAUCUCCCAGGAAACCUGAUGGUGUUCCCAGAGACGCAGCUCCCUCCCCAGGGAUUCACCUCCACAGCCCAGGCAGAGAGGGAUGACCCAAUGCCACGUUCCACAGCUCCCAGGGAUGGAACUGGGAUGGGAUUUCCCUGCAGGGCACAGCACAGCUCCUGGGAAACUCCAAUUUCCAGCUGCUGGCCAAAGGCAGGACGUGGACCCCGAUGGACAACGGUCAAGUGGCCAAACUCUGGUGCUGUUCCAGAGGAUCCCAAAGCUGCAGCCGAGGCACAGAACCUCCCCAGCUGCCACCCUCAGCCCUGACAGCACCAAACUCCUCUCAUGUUGCAAGGUGAGCCUGAACUGGUUCCUCCACCCAGCCCUCCUUGCCAAUUUUCUCCUUUGUCAUCAGAGGCUGGAUUUAAUCCGGCAGGAAUGUGCCUUGGUUUGAGCCCGGGAGUCGCCCACCCGAGCUCUGGGUGUGAGGGUUAUUUUGGGGUGAGAAGCUCCUCCAUCCCCAGCACUGUCACUCUGCCUCAGCACAAAAGUCCAGGGCACCAACUCUGUGUGCUGGGACUGUCCCCAACAGCACUGACAGGUCACAGGAAUUCCCCUGCACAGACACAAAACAAACCUGAAGCUGCUGAGAGCUGCUCAAAGACCCUCGAUCCCUGCUCCAAACCCACCUCUGUUCCAGCAACCCCCAGGCCUCCCUCAAUCCUCAGCCUGAGCUGAGUCCAUCUGAGCUCAGCCCAGAGCCCAGGAAGGCCGGACACCCUGGAACUCAAGGAAAUUGUUUUGCUGCUCAAACAAAACCUUUUCCCCAAGCCCAAGUGUGCCCACUGUGCUGCAGCCCUGGCCCUCCAACAGGUUCUGUCCCACGUGGCUCCUGUGGGAAAGCUCCCUGGUUUGGGGAGACUCUGGACAACACCAGGCCGUGGCUGAGCCAGCCACAGUUCUCCAAAAUACUUCAGAAAGUCUCAGGAGUUACAGGGAAAAAGGGGAAGAAGUGCACAAAGCAUGAGGCUGUGUGUGCUCCAGUGCUGGCUGCAGGAGCUGCUCUCUCCCAGGAGUUCUUUUCCAGCCUGGGAGCCUGGAGGCACCAGGAUCCAGGCAGGAAUAAGCAGCUGCUUUCCAAAAAGGCAGCGUGGGGCCCCUUUGCAAGGGAGCAAUUGAGGACUCGAAGCUCUAACCCCCAGCACAGCCCAGCUGCUCCAGGUUGGAGGACAAUCAGAGCAGGUCAUGCUUGGACACCCCCUCCCCUUCAGAGGCCGAAGCCUGUCCCCACUCCAACCAAAAUCCCCCCAAAGUCACUCCAGUGUUUCCUGAGAAAAACCAGUCCCAUCUGCCCCUUCACCCCACAUUUCCCCUCUCCUGUCACAGCUCUUGUGGCCUCUUGAACUGAACCAUAAAAACUGCUCAAACCCCAAAUCCCCCCAUUCCCACAGGUCCCAGACAGCACCUACCCCUCACUCCAUGCUCCCCUCCCUGUCACAUCUCUCCCAAUCCCUAAACAGAGAGCCUAAGAACCUCCAAACCCCAAAUCCCCCCAUUCCCAUUUGCUGCAGGAGCCCCCAGAGCUGUCCCCUGUCCCAGGACUGUCCCCCCACCAUCCCUGGCAUUCCCUGCCCGAGGCUCUGGCAUUAAUCGAAUUGCCUCAAAUGACACCUCGCAGACCUGUUGUUCUUUUCCACACCAGGAAAUGGGGGAGGGCAAAAAUAAGGGUAAAAAAUAAAAGAAUAAGCCUGGAGUUUGGUGAGAGAGCAGGGCAGGGCAGCCCCUUAUGUAAUUCCUGGUUUGUGGAUUAACAGACAGCUCGUCCCGCCAUUCCCGGCUCCGGCUGAUGACGAGCAAAAGCGAAUCCCCGGAGCAAGCGGGGCUUCAUCCCUGGCAACCACGGAGCUGCCUCCUUCCUGCCCUGCUGGGAUGCACGGGGGGAAUGCUGAUCCCUCUCUGCUCUGCCUGUCGGGGCAGGAGGCUCCGGGGAACUACACAGCAGCAACCUGUAGCUACAAGCCCACCUCCGGCACCUUCCCAGCUCCAGCAAACAACGCGGAAAAACUCAUUCACUCACUGGUUCCCAGCGUGCUGGUGGGAAACAAGGAGGUGCACGAAGCAGGAAGGAAAUGGGAGCAGGAGUGGAGUGAAGGGUGGGGAGGAGGGAGUUAAAACCCAGCACUGGGAGCAGGGAGCAUCCUCUGCUGUGGCACAGGGACAGGUCAGGAGAGGGUGACGGGCUCCAGGUGGGCACAGGGGUGGGGAACAGGAGAACAAUCCCGAGUUCAUGGCCAGGAGGAUGCCAGCGUUCCAGCAGGUGGGCACAGGGAUGGGAAACAGGAGGAGGACAAUCCCGAGUUCGUGCCCAAGAGGAUGCCAGUGUUCCAGCAGGUGGGCACAGGGAUGGGGAACAGGAGGACA